rnacentral:rRNA from 1 species
GAAACUGCCCGAUGGAGGGGGAUAACUACUGGAAACGGUAGCUAAUACCGCAUAACGUCGCAAGACCAAAGAGGGGGACCUUCGGGCCUCUUGCCAUCGGAUGUGCCCAGAUGGGAUUAGCUAGUAGGUGGGGUAAAGGCUCACCUAGGCGACGAUCCCUAGCUGGUCUGAGAGGAUGACCAGCCACACUGGAACUGAGACACGGUCCAGACUCCUACG